UACGUAGGGUGCAAGCGUUGUCCGGAAUUAUUGGGCGUAAAGAGCUCGUAGGCGGUCUGUCGCGUCGGCUGUGAAAACUCGGGGCUCAACCCCGAGCCUGCAGUCGAUACGGGCAGACUAGAGUGCUGUAGGGGAGACUGAAAUUCCUGGUGUAGCGGUGAAAUGCGCAGAUAUCAGGAGGAACACCGGUGGCGAAGGCGGGUCUCUGGGCAGUAACUGACGCUGAGGAGCGAAAGCGUGGGGAGCAAACAGG
rnacentral:rRNA from 1 species